UUUUAGGUAAAAGCACAGCUUUAAGUACCCAUUGCAAGCUGCAAAAAGCCUAUGAGUAGCCCUGCUGUCCUCUUCAUUCCUCUACUUCUUUGAAGUCUUCCAAGGUCUCCAGGGUCUCUCACUUAGUGGUUCUAUUCCAUGUAUGAGCUGAGAACUGCAAACUUACAGCGUGCAUCAAUUCUUCAGAUUAGCAUCAUGGAUGGGGGUAGACACCAGCUUGAAACUAGAGCCCAGUUUCUGUUGUUUCCCUGGAUGAAAAUCUGAAGUAGCUUCAAUACUGCUGGGGAAUCAGCCUGCAUCUCAUAUCCAGGGGAAGAAGGUGGGAUCUGCAGAUAUGGAAAGGUGCAUGUCAGAAGACAGCUGGCUGUGUCUCUUCUCUCUAAACCAGGCUGCUGUGAAUAUAAGAGGCUAUAUAUGCAGAUCAAGGUUACCAAGGGACAUAGACACCUCUGGCUUCAGUUAUUUUCCUUAUUAAACUGGCAGUGGAAGAAGUAAGCGGUGUAAAAUUCUCUAGGUCAACUCAAAAGCACUGAAAGAUUAUCUGUGCCCUGGAAAAUUAAAUUGGCUUUAUGGUCAGACAAUGCCCAGCAGUGUAAUCCAGAGACACAAGAGGAUUUGGAUUGUAAAGUACUCAAAUUAAAGGAGUGCUUGUAUUCUGGGAGUUUGAUUCUUCCUACCACAAAUGGUGUUUGGUUCUGGGAUUUUUGUUUGGACCUGCCUGUGCCUCUUACAAAACCAAAACAAGCAAGCUGUCAUUUUUUACAAAAGCCCAGAUGUAUUUUCGUUUUUUGCAAAGACAGACAAAUAUCAGUACUAAGGUAUUAAAAAAAGUAGCUACUAAAAUGUGUCGCAAUUUUUUCUGUUCCUUCCCCCCCAACCCUUUCUAUGUUUGCCUGCUUUUUUGUGCUGUUCUACUUGUUUGCUUGUAAAAUCUUCCUUGGGGCCAUAUUUGUGCAGACAGACUAAAACAUUUUUGACUCUGAAGGAAUCCCCUGAGGUAAAAUUUACUCAGAUAAUAUCUCAGUUACCACCUAACCUGUUUGGGUUAUUUUUGAACACUAUAAAGCAGUAGCACCAACAAAGAAAAAAUCUGCAUGGUACA